AGCAGUAGCCACGGGAAUACGAAGGGGGCUAGCGUUGUUCGGAAUCACUGGGCGUAAAGGGUGCGUAGGCGGGAUCUUAAGUCAGGGGUGAAAUCCCGAGGCUCAACCUCGGAACUGCCUUUGAUACUGGGGUCCUUGAGUCCGGAAGAGGUGAGUGGAACUGCGAGUGUAGAGGUGAAAUUCGUAGAUAUUCGCAAGAACACCGGUGGCGAAGGCGGCUCACUGGUCCGGAACUGACGCUGAGGCACGACAGCGUGGGGAGCAAACAGGAUUAGAGACCCCCGUAGUCCCGUCUCUUAUACA
rnacentral:rRNA from 1 species